CACCCAACUAGGAAGUGUCUAAGGUCACAUUUGAACCCGGGACCUCCUGUCUUCAGGUAUGGCUAUCUACUGAGCCAUCUAGUUCCCCCCCCCUUUUUUUUUACAUAAAGUGCUUUUCUUAAUGAAAGAAAUUUUAAAGAGAUGUCAGUCAGACUCAAGGUAUGCAGUUCACAAGCAUGGAGGGGAGGGGGAAAAGUCCUAUUUAACCAAGGACCAAGCUGGACUUGCUGCCAGGUAAAUUUGUUUUGUAUGGUGCUGGUUCUGAUGCAGCUGGACUGGGAACAAGUGCAGCCGGCACAGCUUCUUCUUUGUUCUGUCCUAGGUCAACUCUUGAGUCAGCCUCCACAUUCCCAAGAACAUCACCUUCUCUCCUUGGACCUACAGAAGCUCCAGAACCUGUUUCAAAUGGAGCCCAGAUGGUUCAGAAUCAUCUCUACUAAACUGAGGAGUCCCUCCUUAUUUGGCCAAGAAGGUCGAUUUUCUUCAGGUGUUCAGUUCCUCACUCACUAAGCUCUUACUGCUGUGGACUGCCCCCAGCCAGACCAGGCCAUCAUGCCCAUGUGCAUCUUGAACUAUUGGCCACCUUCCCAGCACCCAAAGAUGGUAACAUAGGGAACGAGGAUACUUUUCUGCACCUGCAAGGCUCCUUAGUCAAAGGUAUGCCAGCUAAAUAAGUCCAUGGGCUACUUCAUUUAUGUUGGGCCAUCCCCAGCUUGUAUUCCUCUGUGAUGUGCCUGGUGGGUACCCUGGC
rnacentral:lncRNA from 1 species